UACGGAGGGUGCGAGCGUUAAUCGGAAUUACUGGGCGUCAAGGGCGCGUAGGCGGUGGGUUACGUCUGCCGUGAAAUCCCCGGGCUCAACCUUGGAAUGGCGGUGGGAACGGGCUGACUGGAGUAUGGGAGAGGGUGAUGGAAUUCCAGGCGUAGAGGUGAAAUGGGUAGAGAACUGGAGGAACACCAGGGGCGAAGGCGGUCACCUGGCCCAAUACUUACGCUGAGGCGCGAAAGCGUGAGGAGCAAUCAGG
rnacentral:rRNA from 1 species